rnacentral:rRNA from 1 species
ACCACCGGGAUGUUCAUAACCCUUUGUUGUCCGACUCUGUUGCCUCCGGGGCGACCCUGCCUUCGGGCGGGGGCUCCGGGUGGACACUUCAAACUCUUGCGUAACUUUGCAGUCUGAGUAAACUUAAUUAAUAAAUUAAAACUUUUAACAACGGAUCUCUUGGUUCUGGCAUCGAUGAAGAACGCAGCGAAAUGCGAUAAGUAAUGUGAAUUGCAGAAUUCAGUGAAUCAUCGAAUCUUUGAACGCACAUUGCGCCCCCUGGUAUUCCGGGGGGCAUGCCUGUUCGAGCGUCAUUUCACCACUCAAGCCUCGCUUGGUAUUGGGCAACGCGGUCCGCCGCGUGCCUCAAAUCGACCGGCUGGGUCUUCUGUCCCCUAAGCGUUGUGGAAACUAUUCGCUAAAGGGUGUUCGGGAGGCUACGCCGUAAAACAACCCCAUUUCUAAGGUUGACCUCGGAUCAGGUAGG